rnacentral:rRNA from 1 species
ACUCCUACGGGAGGCAGCAGUGGGGAAUUGUUCGCAAUGGGCGCAAGCCUGACGACGCAACGCCGCGUGGAGGAUGAAGGUCUUCGGAUUGUAAACUCCUGUUGCCCGGGACGAAACACUCUGACCUAACACGUCAGAGUCUGACGGUACCGGGUGAGGAAGCCCCGGCUAACUCUGUGCCAGCAGCCGCGGUAAU